GACGAACGCUGGCGGCGUGCCUAAUACAUGCAAGUAGAACGCUGAAGAGAGGAGCUUGCUCUUCUUGGAUGAGUUGCGAACGGGUGAGUAACGCGUAGGUAACCUGCCUUGUAGCGGGGGAUAACUAUUGGAAACGAUAGCUAAUACCGCAUAACAAUGGAUGACCCAUGUCAUUUAUUUGAAAGGGGCAAAUGCUCCACUACAAGAUGGACCUGCGUUGUAUUAGCUAGUUGGUGAGGUAACGGCUCACCUAGGCGACGAUACAUAGCCGACCUGAGAGGGUGAUCGGCCACACUGGGACUGAGACACGGCCCAGACUCCUACGGGAGGCAGCAGUAGGGAAUCUUCGGCAAUGGGGGCAACCCUGACCGAGCAACGCCGCGUGAGUGAAGAAGGUUUUCGGAUCGUAAAGCUCUGUUGUAAGUCAAGAACGAGUGUGAGAGUGGAAAGUUCACACUGUGACGGUAGCUUACCAGAAAGGGACGGCUAACUACGUGCCAGCAGCCGCGGUAAUACGUAGGUCCCGAGCGUUGUCCGGAUUUAUUGGGCGUAAAGCGAGCGCAGGCGGUUUGAUAAGUCUGAAGUUAAAGGCUGUGGCUCAACCAUAGUUCGCUUUGGAAACUGUCAAACUUGAGUGCAGAAGGGGAGAGUGGAAUUCCAUGUGUAGCGGUGAAAUGCGUAGAUAUAUGGAGGAACACCGGUGGCGAAAGCGGCUCUCUGGUCUGUAACUGACGCUGAGGCUCGAAAGCGUGGGGAGCGAACAGGAUUAGAUACCCUGGUAGUCCACGCCGUAAACGAUGAGUGCUAGGUGUUAGGCCCUUUCCGGGGCUUAGUGCCGCAGCUAACGCAUUAAGCACUCCGCCUGGGGAGUACGACCGCAAGGUUGAAACUCAAAGGAAUUGACGGGGGCCCGCACAAGCGGUGGAGCAUGUGGUUUAAUUCGAAGCAACGCGAAGAACCUUACCAGGUCUUGACAUCCCUCUGACCGCUCUAGAGAUAGAGUUUUCCUUCGGGACAGAGGUGACAGGUGGUGCAUGGUUGUCGUCAGCUCGUGUCGUGAGAUGUUGGGUUAAGUCCCGCAACGAGCGCAACCCCUAUUGUUAGUUGCCAUCAUUCAGUUGGGCACUCUGGCGAGACUGCCGGUAAUAAACCGGAGGAAGGUGGGGAUGACGUCAAAUCAUCAUGCCCCUUAUGACCUGGGCUACACACGUGCUACAAUGGCUGGUACAACGAGUCGCAAGCCGGUGACGGCAAGCUAAUCUCUGAAAGCCAGUCUCAGUUCGGAUUGUAGGCUGCAACUCGCCUACAUGAAGUCGGAAUCGCUAGUAAUCGCGGAUCAGCACGCCGCGGUGAAUACGUUCCCGGGCCU
rnacentral:rRNA from 1 species